UGUCUUUAAGCAGUUUAAUUGAGAGGUAUGCAUAUUAAAGGAAUGGUAAUCUGAUUAAGGUGGAUUACGUUUGAUUUGAAAAAUCGGCAGAGUUGCAGGCGGAGCGAAAUCAGUCCACGUGACACGAGCAGCCAAUAAUGUGCGUGCAUUUAAUUCGAUGAUUACUUGUUUGACACUAACUGCUACUAGAAAAGUGGGUUAGGUUAGAACUGCGACCUUUACAGAAACAAACUGCUACUAGAAAAGUGGGUUAGGUUAGGUUAGAACUGCGACCUUCACAGAAACCAACUGCUGCUAUAAAA